rnacentral:snoRNA from 1 species
UAAUCAAAAAGUACAGGGGGUAUUUGCCACGGCGAUUUAAUGUAUAUAAUCAAGUUAUAAUCGUUGCCAUUUUCUAAAAAGAAUAUGAUCUUUAACCACCCGAGAUAGAUAAACUUACUCCCGGAUAGGAAGUUCGAUGUCCGUGUGUCUCUUUAUUGAGGCGAUGGUCUUGAAUGUCGAUAGAUGGGAUACAGCU